rnacentral:rRNA from 1 species
CCUACGGGGGGCAGCAGUGGGGAUUAUUGGACAAUGGGGGGAACCCUGAUCCAGCCAUGCCGCGUGUGUGAAGAAGGCCCUCGGGUUGUAAAGCACUUUCAGUGAGGAAGAACGCCUGGUGGUUAAUACCCAUCAGGAAAGACAUCACUCACAGAAGAAGCACCGGCUAACUCCGUGCCAGCAGCCGCGGUAAUACGGAGGGUGCGAGCGUUAAUCGGAAUUACUGGGCGUAAAGCGCGCGUAGGUGGCUUGAUAAGCCGGUUGUGAAAGCCCCGGGCUCAACCUGGGAACGGCAUCCGGAACUGUCAAGCUAGAGUGCAGGAGAGGAAGGUAGAAUUCCCGGUGUAGCGGUGAAAUGCGUAGAGAUCGGGAGGAAUACCAGUGGCGAAGGCGGCCUUCUGGACUGACACUGACACUGAGGUGCGAAAGCGUGGGUAGCAAACAGGAUUAGAUACCCCAGUAGUC